AACGAACGCUGGCGGCAGGCUUAACACAUGCAAGUCGAGCGAGACCUUCGGGUCUAGCGGCGGACGGGUGAGUAACGCGUGGGAACGUGCCCUUCUCUACGGAAUAGCCCCGGGAAACUGGGAGUAAUACCGUAUACGCCCUUUGGGGGAAAGAUUUAUCGGAGAAGGAUCGGCCCGCGUUGGAUUAGGUAGUUGGUGGGGUAAUGGCCCACCAAGCCGACGAUCCAUAGCUGUUUUGAGAGGAUGAUCAGCCACACUGGGACUGAGACACGGCCCAGACUCCUACGGGAGGCAGCAGUGGGGAAUCUUAGACAAUGGGGGCAACCCUGAUCUAGCCAUGCCGCGUGAGUGAUGAAGGCCUUAGGGUUGUAAAGCUCUUUCAGCUGGGAAGAUAAUGACGGUACCAGCAGAAGAAGCCCCGGCUAACUCCGUG
rnacentral:rRNA from 1 species